rnacentral:lncRNA from 1 species
UCUCUAGGCUCCGGCAUGACGGGUGACUUCUUCCGAGUCUGGCUUCUGCAGCACACAGGGCUUCGCCAGCACCCAGCUCCUGCAGCAUGGGCAGCUCCUGUGACAGCAGGCGCCCGCAGCCUGCAAAGCGUCUCCAGUGCCGCCGCCUCAGUGAACCUCAACCAGCGGCACCUAGCAGCUUUCUCUGCCACCCUCUUCAGGAAGCCCGCCUGACCCCAUGUCUCAGGCUGCCAGAGGAGCGUGCGAUGAGGAAGGCUGGACUGUCUUCACAGGACACCAGGGAGAAGCCUCAAGCCACUGCCCCCUGACAAGUCGCAGCUCUCCAGCCUGUCUCCUCACUCCCCUCCCCUCCACAUGGGGGGGUUGGGGUGGGGGCGGGGAAGGUUCGGGGCAGGGGUCAUUUCAGCUACUGGGCACCAGUCUCCUCCUCAUGUUUAUCCUGUUCCCUUUGCUUGAAAGGUUCGUACUCCAGAUCCUUGUAAAACCGCUUCUCACCCUUUGAGUCUCAGCUUAAAUGUCCCCUCCUUGGAGGGGUCUUCCCUGACAAUGAAGCUCCGACCGUC